rnacentral:rRNA from 2 species
AAAAUGACUCUCGGCAACGGAUAUCUCGGCUCUCGCAUCGAUGAAGAACGUAGCGAAAUGCGAUACUUGGUGUGAAUUGCAGAAUCCCGUGAACCAUCGAGUUUUUGAACGCAAGUUGCGCCCAAAGCCAUUAGGCUAAGGGCACGUCUGCCUGGGCGUCACGC